GAUGAACGCUGGCGGCGUGCCUAAUACAUGCAAGUAGAACGCUGAAAGAGGAGCUUGCUCUUCUGGAUGAGUUGCGAACGGGUGAGUAACGCGUAGGUAACCUGCCUGGUAGCGGGGGAUAACUAUUGGAAACGAUAGCUAAUACCGCAUGACAACAGUUAUUGCAUGAUAACUGUUUAAAAGGGGCAACUGCUCCACUACCAGAUGGAUCUGCGUUGUAUUAGCUAGUUGGUGAGGUAACGGCUCACCAAGGCGACGAUACAUAGCCGACCUGAGAGGGUGAUCGGCCACACUGGGACUGAGACACGGCCCAGACUCCUACGGGAGGCAGCAGUAGGGAAUCUUCGGCAAUGGACGGAAGGCUGACCGAGCAACGCCGCGUGAGUGAAGAAGGUUUUCGGAUCGUAAAGCUCUGUUGUAAGAGAAGAACGAGUGUGAGAGUGGAAAGUUCACACUGUGACGGUAUCUUACCAGAAAGGGACGGCUAACUACGUG
rnacentral:rRNA from 1 species